rnacentral:rRNA from 1 species
UACGAAGGGUGCUAGCGUUGUUCGGAAUUACUGGGCGUAAAGCGCACGUAGGCGGCUCGAUCAGUCAGGGGUGAAAUCCCAGGGCUCAACCCUGGAACUGCCUUUGAUACUGUCGAUCUGGAGUAUGGAAGAGGUGAGUGGAAUUCCGAGUGUAGAGGUGAAAUUCGUAGAUAUUCGGAGGAACACCAGUGGCGAAGGCGGCUCACUGGUCCAUUACUGACGCUGAGGUGCGAAAGCGUGGGGAGCAAACAGG